rnacentral:lncRNA from 1 species
CUGGAUUGGAACCCCUUUCCGGUAAGAAUUUCGUAUUUGAGAUUCACCUCUGACUUGCCUAUCCUGCAGUUUAAUGAGAAUUUAAGAGGGGCCCAAGGAGUAUGACAACUGGAGGUAUGUCAUACUUCCAGUUUUCCUUAUACUGAAGGCUGUGUACAUGUAUUCUUGAGAAAUAUUCAUAAACAUAGGCUUAGUGUAGAAUUGUCUGUUAGUGCAAGAUGAUGACAGAAAAAUGGAUUUAAAAUGUUGUAUUCAAAUUAAGAUGUCCAGGCAUGGACUGAACAGCCAGUGAAUGUAAAGGCUGGGUGAGGAGUUAGGGAGCCAGCGAAUGUUAAAACUUCAUUCCCUGGGAUGAUCUGUGGUUUGCUGAAGAUUAUUAUGUGAUUGAGUUCUCCACUGCCUUGAAUAGCAAGCCAACAGAGAGUAAUACAAAUCAAUACAUUUCUAAAUUACUCCGUUCUGCCCUUUCUCUCCCUGAUUUCAUCUACAUGGAUCCAACAACCCAGCCUCGGAGCCAAGUGUGACAUUACAUAUCAAUGCCUUAGCCCUUACUAAGGAAAUUCACAAUCUAGCAACCUCUAUAAAAUCAAUCCCAAAUAUUUAGCAUUGCCUGUGUCUACCCCUAAGUUAGCCCCCAGGAACCCUGUACCCAGAGUUCCAUUAUCCUUACUCCCCUCAUCUAUCAUGCCUUCCCCAAGAGUGGCAGGAUACCCUUAGGAAAGCUCAUGGUACACGAAGCCUGAAUGCCUACCAAGAGGAGUAGAUGGCUUAAUUUUCGGGUUCUUAUCCACACCUUCCUGCUUUUUUCUUCUCCUUUCAGGACUAAUUUUUCUUCUCUUGUGGUCUCAAAUCCUGUCUCACCAGAGACAAGAGUUCUUGCAGAAAUUCACCUUGACUAAGGAGCUAGAUACUCAAUUUAUUUGCUGGUCCUUGGAACAUUUGCAUUUUAAAGACAGGGUGGUAACGGUGAUCAAAUGUAUGUGCUUUCUCCUGGACACAAAUAAAUAUCCCAGUUCAUCGGUGGCUAAUCAUUCCUGCUAGUCCCUAAUGUGUUUUUCCCCUUUAUUCCUUUAAUUUCAAGAUAAUAAUAAUAAUAAGAAAAAUUAUUUUUCCUUUUUCAUUUUCUUCUAUUAGUUGGCCUGCCUAAACAUUUCUCAUUAGUUUUCAUAUCAAUUUAUCAUACCACAUACCCAUUCUAACUUGAUUUUGACCUUACCUUGUGCUUGGAUUUUUGGUGAACCCAGUAUUCACAAAAACUGGGCAGAGACAUGAGGUUUUGAUACCAGUUUUUUCCAAGGCCUGAAGUUCUGAUGUCAGACCUCUGUGAAAGCCAACAGCGGCAAAUUUGCUGGAACUGUAAGAGAAUUAUUAAGCAUUGUUAGCUAAGGGAGAGUGAAACCAAUCCUCAGCUUUCUGUGAGAAGGCGGUAUCAUUUGGCUUAAGAACAAGUGGAAGCCAAAAAUCAGCCACUUGUGAUUUUUCUGAGAGUAUAAAUGGCAAUUCAUUUUCAUUUUCUUACAUGAUUCAGCAGAAUUGUGAACGUAUCUCAUUUCUUAAACAACAAUAACAAAAGAACAAAAAUAACUCUAUUGAUUGGCUUAAUGUUCAGUUUUCCAUCCUACAUGUAAGGUUUUUCCAUUGAAUCUUCAAACUGUUUUCUAAUCAGUUUUUAUUGCUGCUUUUAUUUUGAAAAAUAUGAAUCAGGAAAAAUACAUUUAGAAAUU